AGAUGCCAAAGUUUCCAUUGGAAAACCUGCACGUGUCAGGGACCACCAAACAAUUCUUGCAAACCCAGACCCUCUGCGGCCAGGGUCGGGUGAUGGGGAGGAGCUGCGAGGUACCAGGGCCCUUGAUAUGGACAAUUAGAGAACCAUGGAUUAGUUGCCGUUGAAGGGGGCUCCGCCAAUGAAAUCUUCUCUGCGCUCUGAUUUGGCGGUUCUUCGGUGCAAAUAUGACAGCUUUCUCUCUCAGCUCUUUUCUGCAUCUCUCCAUGUCCGACCCCGGAGCCCAGUUCUCGGUCUGCAAUUUCUACACCACAACCUUUGCAAUCACCACCACCACCACCCCUAGGUCCCAUGUCAGCAGGUGCCAGGUUGCUACAAAGGUGACAGGGCACAUUGGGAAGAAGGCUUGUUGAUUGCAGAAGAUACUUAUGCCCCGUGUUUCCAGGUCGAUGCCUGUGUGUUCCAUCAGUUAAUGGGGAGUAGUAGUUAAGAGAGUGUACUAGUGAGGUGUUGGUGAGGUGGGAUUUUGCUGUCUAUCGAGGAAAAUAAAAGAUGUGAACUUCCUGUGUUCAGAGCAUGGA
rnacentral:lncRNA from 1 species